rnacentral:rRNA from 1 species
UUAGAAGCUUGCUUCUAUGACGUUAGCGGCGGACGGGUGAGUAACACGUGGGCAACCUGCCUGUAAGACUGGGAUAACUUCGGGAAACCGAAGCUAAUACCGGAUAGGAUCUUCUCCUUCAUGGGAGAUGAUUGAAAGAUGGUUUCGGCUAUCACUUACAGAUGGGCCCGCGGUGCAUUAGCUAGUUGGUGAGGUAACGGCUCACCAAGGCAACGAUGCAUAGCCGACCUGAGAGGGUGAUCGGCCACACUGGGACUGAGACACGGCCCAGACUCCUACGGGAGGCAGCAGUAGGGAAUCUUCCGCAAUGGACGAAAGUCUGACGGAGCAACGCCGCGUGAGUGAUGAAGGCUUUCGGGUCGUAAAACUCUGUUGUUAGGGAAGAACAAGUACAAGAGUAACUGCUUGUACCUUGACGGUACCUAACCAGAAAGCCACGGCUAACUACGUGCCAGCAGCCGCGGUAAUACGUAGGUGGCAAGCGUUAUCCGGAAUUAUUGGGCGUAAAGCGCGCGCAGGC